rnacentral:lncRNA from 1 species
AACCCCCUCCCGCCCCUUCCCCCUUCUUUACCUCUCUGUGAGAAAGGGGGCACAGAGAUUUCCCUGGAGAGGCGGGCUCCAGCAUAUGGACAUUAUCUUCCCUGAGCUUGGAGUUGUGUGUGCCUGUGACUGGAGCAGAUUUAAGCCACGUUUUGCCGCUUUCUGUCUUUUGUAUGGGAUAUCUGCACACAGGCGAGGUGGCUUCGUGUUCAGGGAGAGGGCUGCUCCUGGGCAGCUGCUGAAAUGCAGAGCUGGGUUCUAG